CUGUGAGAUGGCACUGUGAGACCCCAGGCCGGUCACUGUGAGGGGCUCUGUGAUGGCACUGUGAGACCCCAGGCCGGUCACUGUGAGGGGUUCUGUGAUGGCACUGUGAGACCCCAGGCUGGUCCCUGUGAGGGGCUCUGUGAGACCCCAGGCCGGUCACUGUGAGGGGUUCUGUGAUGUCACUAUGGUAAAUGACUGUGUCUGAUUACAAAUAUCUUCAGGGGAUGACUAUGAUAGGGUUAGUGUGGCAAGGUGAGGGGGUGAGUGUGACAUGAAUUGGGAGGUUGAGUUGGCACGGUAGGUUAGUGUAACAGUGUUGAGUGUAGCAGGGUUAAUGGGGUGAGUUUGGCAGAGUUCGGGAGUGAGUGUGGCAGGGCUGAGGGGUGAGUGUUACAGAGUUAGGGUGGCAGUGGCGAGGAGGAGUGAGUGUGAUUGAGUGAGAGGGAUAAUUUGUGACAGGAUGAGGGGGUGACCAUGUAUAGAAGCUAAGUGUGUGUGGGGAGUGACCGUAUUAUUAUUUAUAAAGCGCCAACAAAUUCCGCAGCGCUGUACAAUGGGUGGACUAACAGACACGUAUCUGUAACCAGACAAGUUGGACGCACAGGAACUGAGGGAUUGAGGGCCCUGAUCAAUGAGCUUACAUGCUAGAGGGAGAAGGGCAUAGUGACACAAAAGGUUAGGGUAGAGCGGAUGGUAGUGCCAUUGACUUGGAGGGAAACAGACAAGGGAGUAGCAACACUUGAGGGAGGAAAGACCAGAAGUUCUGUUUUGGACAAGUUCAGUUUAAGGAAGUGAGCACCCAUCCAGUUUGAAAUAGCAGAGAGGCAGUCAGAGACACGAGUCAAAUGGGGUGGUGAGAAAUCAGGGAAGGACAGAUAAAUUUGUGUGUCAUCCUCAUAGAAAUGGUACUGGAAGCCAAAGGAGCU